rnacentral:misc_RNA from 1 species
GAUGAAGAACGUAGCGAAAUGCAAUAAGUAAUGUGAAUUGCAGAAUUCAGUGAAUCAUCGAAUCUUUGAACGCACAUUGCGCCCGCCAGCAUUCUGGCGGGCAUGCCUGUUCGAGCGUCAUUUCAACCCUCGAGCCCCCCCGGGGGCCUCGGUGUUGGGGGACGGCACACCAGCCGCCCCCGAAAUGCAGUGGCGACCUCGCCGCAGCCUCCCCUGCGUAGUAGCACACAUCUCGCACCGGAGCGCGGAGACGGUCACGCCGUAAAACGCCCAACUUCUUAGAGUUGACCUCGGAUCAGGUAGGAAUACCCGCUGAACUUAAGCAUAUCAAUAAGCGGAGGA